GACGAACGCUGGCGGCGUGCUUAACACAUGCAAGUCGAACGGAAAGGCCCUGCUUUUGUGGGGUGCUCGAGUGGCGAACGGGUGAGUAACACGUGAGUAACCUGCCCUUGACUUUGGGAUAACUUCAGGAAACUGGGGCUAAUACCGGAUAGGAGCUCCUGCUGCAUGGUGGGGGUUGGAAAGUUUCGGCGGUUGGGUAUCGACUCGCGGCUUAUCAGCUUGUUGGUGGGGUAGUGGCUUACCAAGGCUUUGACGGGUAGCCGGCCUGAGAGGGUGACCGGCGACAUUGGGACUGAGGUACGGACCAGACUGCUACGGGAGGCAGCAGUGGGGAAUAUUGCACAAUGGGGGGAAGCCUGAUGCAGAAACGUCGCGUGCGGGAUGACGGCCUUCGGGUUGUAAACCGCUUUCGAAUGUGACGAAGCGUGAGUGACGGUAAUGGGUAAAGAAGCACCGGCUAACUACGUG
rnacentral:rRNA from 1 species